GACGAACGCUGGCGGCGCGCCUAACACAUGCAAGUCGAACGGAGCUGAGAGAAGCUUGCUUUUCUUAGCUUAGUGGCGAACGGGUGAGUAACGCGUGAGUAACCUGCCCUGGAGUGGGGGACAACAGUUGGAAACGACUGCUAAUACCGCAUAAGCCCACGAUCCGGCAUCGGAUUGAGGGAAAAGGAUUUAUUCGCUUCAGGAUGGACUCGCGUCCAAUUAGCUAGUUAGUGAGGUAACGGCCCACCAAGGCGACGAUUGGUAGCCGGACUGAGAGGUUGAACGGCCACAUUGGGACUGAGACACGGCCCAGACUCCUACGGGAGGCAGCAGUGGGGGAUAUUGCACAAUGGGGGAAACCCUGAUGCAGCGACGCCGCGUGGAGGAAGAAGGUUUUCGGAUUGUAAACUCCUGUCGUUAGGGACGAUAAUGACGGUACCUAACAAGAAAGCACCGGCUAACUACGUG
rnacentral:rRNA from 1 species